GUCCAGGUGGCGGAAUGGUAGACGCGCUAGCUUGAGGUGCUAGUGACCAACUAUAUCGGUCGUGCGGGUUCAACUCCCGCUCUGGACA
rnacentral:tRNA from 1 species